rnacentral:rRNA from 1 species
GUCCACGCCCUAAACGAUGAUGACUAGUUGUUGGAGGAGUUAAAUCCUUUAGUAACGCAGCUAACGCGAGAAGUCAUCCGCCUGGGGGAGUACGGUCGCAAGAUUAAAACUCAAAGGAAUUGACGGGGGCCCGCACAAGCGGUGGAUGAUGUGGUUUAAUUCGACGCAACGCGAAAACCUUACCUACCCUUGACAUGUCAGGAAGCCUGCAGAAAUGCAGGCGUGCCCGAAAGGGAACCUGAACACAGGUGCUGCAUGGCUGUCGU